NNNNNNNUGUAAAACUCAUCGUAGGAGGCUGCAGAAGAGAGGGGCGAGGGUGAGAGGAGCGGGGCGACGCAUGGGGGGCAAGGGGGGGGGGACGCCGCCGCUCACCCGCUUUGCAGAUGGGCGGCGAGCCGCUCCAGCGCGACGGGUGCCCCGGCAGGCAGCGCAGGCUGCCCUCGCCCAGCAGCACGUGGCCGGCGGCGCAGGAGAAGCGCAGCGCGGUCCCCGCCGGGUACAGCCGCCGCUCGGGGCUCUGCAGGCCGUUGGCGGGCGCGCCGGGGUUGUGGCAGGGCUCGUACGCCUCCGCUGCGGGCAGGAACGGGAGCCGGCGUCAGGGCCCGCCACCGGCCGCCCUCCCCGGCCCGAGGGGUGGGGACUCACGGAUGCACUUGGGGACGCGGUCGCUCCACUUGGGGCCCCCGGCGGCGCGGUCGUGGCAGGUGAGGAGCCCGGUGCCCGUCAGCACGUAGCCCUUGUCGCAGACGAACUGCACCGUGGCCCCCACCGGGAACUUGGCGCUGGAGACCACCCUGCGGCUGUGCUCCACGUCCCCGGGGUCCCUGCAGGACGUCACUGCGGGCGGGAGGCACAGCCGGUGACGCCAGCACCGGGGACACCCCCUGCAAGGCGCAGGCACCGCGCCGGGGCGCUCACCGCGCUCGCAUGCCGGCAGGUCACCGCUCCACGUCAGGUCCCAGUGGCACAUGAGGACGUCGGUGCCGGUGAGCUCGAAGCCGGGGUAGCAGUGGUAGGUCACCACGGUGCCGUGGAUGAGCUCAGGGUGCGAGGUCGUCUUCCAGCCGUUGGGGAUCUCGGGCAGCUCGGGGCACGUGUCGUUGCGGGGCACCUCUGCGGGCAGAGCGGGGUGAGCCAGGCGCUGCGCUGGCUGGGGGGGGACCGUGCGCCCACCACCACCACCGGUCUCACCGUAGAAGUGGAUGACGAAGCCCUGCUGGUAGCCAAAGACGCCRGUGCCGGGGUCAGACUGGAACUGGAUGGUGACGUCGGCCGUGGAGGCGUAGAGCUUGAAGUGGCCGCGGACGCCCGUGUACUGGCCCAGGAUGCGCGCCGUCAGGUCGUCCCCGUCGUAGAAGGUGAGCACGUCCCCCUUGCCCAUGCGCAGCCUGCCGCAGAGCCGGCCGUGAGGCCAGGGCGCCCGGGGAGCCCCCGGCACGGCCCGUCCCCGGCGCCCCGGCACACUCACACCCGGACG
rnacentral:lncRNA from 1 species